ensembl:lncRNA
AUACAAAGAGACAAACUGUACCUGUAGUGAUCUCAGGCUGUAAAAAGCUCCAGGAUGAACCAUGUUAAUGUCGUUGCCAUGCAACAUGAGCAUUUCUAGCUGCCGCAGUGACCUGAAUUCAGACCCCUCCACCUCCGUCAGGCUGUUAUAUCUGUUAGAGAAAACAAACAGGACCAGGUACUGUUAUGGCAUAAGGCGAAGAAGGCAACAAUAUUCAGCAAUCUAUGUGUGUAAAUGUGACCUUUCAGAUAAAAGGAAAAUGCUUGAAGGACUGACAAGUGGAAAGAAUGAAGGGUGACAGAGAGUGUUCAGACAGACUUUGACCCUUAAAGCUUUCCUAUUUUUAAAUCAGAGGAAACGCAUGUGCAGAUUCAAGUGAUUUAUCUUCUUUACAAAGAAGAUCUAAAACAGCACCAAUGUGGAACAGGAAGUAGCCUAACAUGUUCAGAAAGUAGGCGCAGUUUUCUAAGAUAUUAUUUCUAUUAUUUCUAACAGUUCCAGAGUAAAAAAAAAAAAAAAGACAAAAUGAUCAUGAUAUGUCAGCAUUUCCAGUAACUGGUUAUGAACUUUUCAUAUAGCUUUGCCAUGCAAAACCACUCUGCAAACCUCCUCAAAACCUCUUCUGGCAUCAACAUCAACACAAAAACUGAGCUGGUGCUUCAUGGCUCCUUUAAGUGUAGCGUGUAUGUGGCCAUGCACUUUUGUCCAUACAUUCAUUCAUGUCAACAUUUAUCAGAAACAGCUACAUCCUCAGCCCCACAUCGACUAUACGAGUCUCAAGUAUGUUAGACUACUUGGUGUUUAGAAGUCAGCCUCCAUCUCCUUACAGCUUUAAAUCCCCAUGUGCUACAGCAGUCCCCUGUGCUGUAGGCGGUCCAUACCAUCCUCCAGGCUAUUUACUGAACAGUUCCUUUGAAAGACAGUGGAAACCCGCAGUUUUCUUUUGAAUUCAAACUGCAUGUCUCUAAACCUACACUAAAGGAAACAGGCCCAAGAGUCUAAAUAAAACACCCAAACAUGUCUGGUGUGAACAUUUAGAGUUAAAAUCCCUCCACCCUAUUUUCAGGGUGGUCCCGUCAUCGGAAGUUUUAAAUCUGUUUGUUCCCUAAAGGCUCGUGGUCCCCUUCCAAAUGUAUUGUCUGUGCAGUGUCCUGCCGAAAUUCCCUUUGUUCCUAAUACUAUAGACGCCGCCGCCACACACA